GACGAACGCUGGCGGCGUGCUUAACACAUGCAAGUCGAACGGUGAAGCGCCUUCCUUUUUGGUGGGUGUGGAGGAGUGGCGAACGGGUGAGUAACACGUGAGUAACCUGCCCCCUUCUUCUGGAUAACCGCAUGAAAGUGUGGCUAAUACGGGAUAUUCUGGGUCUGUCGCAUGAUGGGUCUGGGAAAGAUAUUGUUUCGGUGGGGGAUGGGGUCGCGGCCUAUCAGCUGGUUGGUGGGGUGAUGGCCUACCAGGGCGGGUGGGGGUAGCCGGCCUGGGAGGGUGGCCGGCCACAGAGGGAGGGAGACGCGACUGGGACUGCUACGGGAGGCAGCAGUGGGGAAUAGGGAACAGUGGGGGAAAGUGUGAUGCAGCGACGCGGCGGGAGGGAUGGAGGCCUGCGGGUGAUGAACCUCUUUCGGCAGUGAAGCAGGCCUGCCUGGUAUGUGGGUGGGUUGACGGUAGCUGGAUAAGAAGCGCCGGCUAACUACGUG
rnacentral:rRNA from 1 species